rnacentral:misc_RNA from 1 species
GGAUGAAGAACGCAGCGAAAUGCGAUAAGUAAUGUGAAUUGCAGAAUUCAGUGAAUCAUCGAAUCUUUGAACGCACCUUGCGCUCCUUGGUAUUCCUUGGAGCAUGCCUGUUUGAGUAUCAUGAAAUUCUCAAAGUCAAUCCUUUUGUUAAUUCAACUGGUUUGCUUUGGAUUUGGAGGUCUUUGCAGAUGUCACAGUCUGCUCCUCUUAAAUUUAUUAGCUGGAUCUCAGUAUAACACUUGGUUCCACUCGGCGUGAUAAGUAUCAUUCGCUGAGGACACUGUAAAAGGUGGCCAGGAAAUUUACAGAUGAACCGCUUCUAAUAGUCCAUUUACUUGGACAAAUUAAAUUUAUGAUCUGAUCUCAAAUCAGGUAGGACUACCCGCUGAACUUAAGCAUAUCAAUAAGCGGAGGA